rnacentral:rRNA from 1 species
CAGUCGCCACGGUAAUACGUAGGGUGCGAGCGUUAAUCGGAUUUAUUGGGCGUAAAGGGAGCGCAGGCGGUUUAGUAAGUCUGAAGUUAAAGGCAUUGGCUCAACCAAUGUAUGCUUUGGAAACUGUUAGACUUGAGUGCAGAAGGGGAGAGUGGAAUUCCAUGUGUAGCGGUGAAAUGCGUAGAUAUAUGGAGGAACACCGGUGGCGAAAGCGGCUCUCUGGUCUGUCACUGACGCUGAGGCUCGAAAGCGUGGGUAGCGAACAGGAUUAGAUACCCGCGUAGUCCCUGUCUCUUAUACA